rnacentral:rRNA from 1 species
AUGUAUUUAGAUCUUCCGGCUCUGUUAUGCAUGGAUCUAACUAGAAGCUUCAUAUGGUUGGCAGACCAUUGUCUUGAGAUUGAGAUUCAUGAUGAUACUACUUGUUCUAUACAUAAAAGAAACCUAUGUGUAUACAUGUAUUUGGUACUUAAUGUAUUCCUUAUUUCCUUGUUUUCUGGCUGGGUAUUUUGUUCACAAUAUCAUUUUCUGUUUAUCACAACCACAACUCGUGCAGCUGCUCGACCUGUCGAUGCUCACCACGAAUUCGAAAGCCUGACUGAAGCUGCCAAUGCCAGAAGAAGAUAG